ensembl:lncRNA
CCAAGUGAGGACACUUUGGUGGUGACUUAGCCAACACGAGUUGGUUUGGAGUCAGGAGGAGAAGGGGUCAGGGACCAAGACGUUCCAGAGCAUUGCCCCCAAAUCUGCUGGUCACUCUGACCCCUGGGGGAAGGGAGGCCAAAGUGGUGCAGAACUGCGUGUUUUCAGAGGACUGCAAAGCAAGGCAUCAGGAUUCCUGGCUGUAGGAAGACUCCUUGGGAUAAACAGGUGCAGACAAAAUUGGAAAGAACUGUGAAGAUUAAAGGAAUCUUUAGAAUUUUCUAGAAUGUAUGCUAUGGCCUAGAAGGAAAACAAUAAUAUCAAGUUGAGAGCGAUCUUCCAAAUGAAGUUCCACCAGAGAUUUACUGCCUAGCAUUGUUCCAAACCACUGAUGCCACCUGAAUGCCUGUGCCUUGCCUACAAAUGUCAACCAAGUCUGUUGGCCAUCUGUGCCAGCAUGCCAUACAUACUGUGAAUCUAGGAAAACCACAUAUGGGCCAUUCCUCUUUCUUUUGCUGCAGUCAGAGGAAAAACUGGUGCCUGCUGUGAUGUUCCUAAAGCUGUUUCCAGCUAUCUAUAAGCUCCUUCAACUCUCACCCCUGCUUUACCUCCUGAGAGGAGUUUAUCUUGGACUUCUUACUUCCAUUUACUCUAAGCCAUAUAGACUUCAAGAGCUGUUGAGAAAAGACAUCAACAGAUGGUAAGUUUUCUGUGACUAUGGCCAUGGAAGGCUGUCAGGUAGGGCCUGUCACUUCCAACUGUUCUCACUGAGCCUUGGCCACUGGAGACUUCCCAGCAGGAAAUCUUUCUGAUCCCUCAUCUACAAAGAGCUUAAUUUCAUGUUUGUGGGACUCUUUCUGCACCCUUGAAGCUGUAGGACACAUCUGUGAGUCAUUUGGGGCAUCCAGUCCUGACAAUGCCUCCAGUGCUCAGUUCCCCAAACAGGAACACUGGUUUUAUGUUCAGGUUGAUAGCACUUACGCUUCAGUUCUUUAGGAUGUGUAGAAAGCCACAGAUGUACAAGAAAUAAAACAGACACCAAAUUCCAACAUGCAAGCUUCUAAAAGAUUCAGAGGAAAGUACCUAUUGACUCUUGAACACUUCAUUCAGAACCAGGGCACAAAGAGGACUGAAGGGAGUAGAGAAGACACAGAAGGGGUUGGUGAAGUGGACUUGCAAAAUGUUAGUGCAUUGGGAAUCUGCUUCCAGGCACGGGGUAUAGACUUGUCCCAUACUAAGAUCAGUGAAGGUGCGUCAGGACAAACUUGGUUGAGCUAGAUGCGGGCUGGGGCAUUCUACAGCUGUGUCACAGUGUUCUUUGGUCAACCCUAGCUUGAGAAGUGAAUGCAAAUGUUGAGGGGCAGGCUGGCCCUCAGCUUUAGUUAUGAGCAAUGGAAGAGAUCUAGAUUUGGACCAGAUGGCAAUAACAUACUGUCAGGCUAAGAACACAUGUUUCCUGUACACCAAUUAUAGGUCACAGCUUGAGAGAGCUGGUAUCAUCUUAGGUCUUACCCCAGAAAUCUAUUUGGGGACAAACAGAGCUGCUGAGAGAUGCAGCUCUGACUAGAUUCCUAGAGACUGAUAUCCUACACAGGGUACUAGAAGAAUAGAGAAAUAUACCUGGGGCAAGACAGCUGUCAAGUGGAUAAUAUAUGUUCUUGUUUUUAGGGGGCUGUAUGGAGAGGAGCAGAGCCUUUUAAAGAAUCCACAAAAUAGCCAUAUGAGGAAGCAUGUAUUUUAAGCAUCUGACAGAUCCAGAAAGCUUGGAGCUGGCAGAUGACAGAAACAGUCAAUUGAGAACUUUCCUGGGACUCUCUGAUCCUAGGGAGAUCAGAAACCACCGUAGGCAAGAUGGAGAGAGCAGAAAUCAGUAGGACAGGCAACAAAGAAAACCAGCCCAGCCUCUUCCUCAAACUGGGGUCUCUUGAUGGCAGCUGGCCCUAGUGGGCAACAUUUCAACUUUAAAACAUAGUUGGAGUUUUGAAUUUUAUUCUGGACUAGAUAUAUUAAAAUACUAACUUUGAGUUGAAGUUUGUGACUUUAGAAGUAGAUGGAGAAGUUAUAAGGACCCAUCUGACUUUUUCUUUUUUACAAGGGGGAUUAAACUUGGGGCCUUCACACUGACCUAAAGGGAGGGGGAGAAUUAAUAGCACUAAGCAAAUUUAAAGACACAAUCAUAGGCAAAAUUGUUGCUAUAUAACAACAUUCCAGGAGCCCCCUUUUCAAUGUGCCCAAACCAUGUCUUUAUAGCUUGCUUCAUACGGUCAGUACAACCCAUAUAAGGUCAGGAGAUUCUAGGUGGCUGCCUUCCCUUUUUCCCCUUGGGAGUCCCCUCAGUUAAUGCAUGACUGAUGCUGAAUCUGCAGCUAUGUUAUCUUUACAACCCUGUAAACGGGAUACUCUGCAACUGUGUAAGUUUGCAACUAUGUUAUCUUUACUACCUUGUAAAGAGGAUGCUCCUUACCUGUGUGAUAUUUUGUUUCAAUUAAACUGUGUGAAACUUGCCCAACUCCCACUAGCUUAACAAAGUUCUGCUCCUGUGAAAUUCUGCUUGCACAACCACUCUCCCUGAGCUCUCCCCAAUUAGAAGAGUCACUUAAAAGGACCCUGCAACUGGCAUGAGCCACUCUCAAUCACUGGCUUAUGACAAU